CGACAGUUCAAGGUUUUGAACUUUUCAGACCUGCACAACGAGUUACCUAUUUGAGAAAUAGAAUAUGGUUAAAAAUUGCUGAUAUGAUAGAAGAUUCAAGUAGCCUACCAUUUACAAACAAAAUAUUGAAGAGAAUGUGCUCAAAAGGAAAUGCAUAUGAAUUCUUUAUUGUUGACCAGGAUGGAAAAAUUCUUUGGAACCCAUAGUUAGAAUAAGUUACUUAGGCCUAGUGGUGUACCAGCCAGAAGUAGAGGAUGAUAAAGAAAAUCAAC